rnacentral:rRNA from 1 species
UACGGGGGGGGGCAAGCGUUGUUCGGAAUUACUGGGCGUAAAGGGCUCGUAGGUGGUCAACUAAGUCGGACGUGAAAUCCCUCGGCUUAACCGGGGAACUGCGUCCGAUACUGGAUGACUUGAGUUCGGGAGAGGGAUGCGGAAUUCCAGGUGUAGCGGUGAAAUGCGUAGAUAUCUGGAGGAAUACCGGUGGCGAAGGCGGCAUCCUGGACCGGCAUUGACGCUGAUGAGCGAAAGCUAGGGGAGCAAACGGG